UCGAGAAUCUUCGGCAAUGGGCGCAAGCCUGACCGAGCGACGCCGCGUGCGGGAUGAAGGCCUUCGGGUUGUAAACCGCUGUCGUAGGGGAGGAAGGCUCCGUGCAGAACGGAGUUUGACCGAUCCUAGGAGGAAGGGCCGGCUAAUCUCGUGCCAGCAGCCGCGGUAAUACGAGAGGCCCAAACGUUAUUCGGAAUUACUGGGCUUAAAGAGUUCGUAGGCGGCGCAGAAAGUAGGGUGUGAAAGCCCUCGGCUUAACCGAGGAAUUGCGCUCUAAACUACUGUGCUUGAGGGACCUAGAGGUGAGCGGAACUGAUGGUGGAGCGGUGAAAUGCGUUGAUAUCAUCAGGAACACCGGAGGCGAAGGCGGCUCACUGGGGGUCUUCUGACGCUGAGGAACGAAAGCCAGGGGAGCGAACGGGAUUAGAUACCCCGGUAGUCC
rnacentral:rRNA from 1 species